CCUACGGGGGGCAGCAGUGAGGAAUAUUGGUCAAUGGCCGGAAGGCUGAACCAGCCAAGCCGCGUGAAGGACGAAGGUGCCAAGCAUUGUAAACUUCUUUUGUCAAGGGACAAAAUCAGGCUCGAGAGCCUGACCGAGGGUACUUGAAGAAAAAGCAUCGGCUAACUCCGUGCCAGCAGCCGCGGUAAUCCGGAGGAUGCGGGCGUUAUCCGGAUUUAUUGGGUUUAAAGGGUGCGUAGGCGGACUGUUAAGUCAGCGGUAAAAGCCGGGGGCUCAACCCCGGCGAGCCGUUGAAACUGGCGGUCUUGAGAUGUCGAGAGGUAUGCGGAAUGCGCGGUGUAGCGGUGAAAUGCUUAGAUAUUGCGCAGAACUCCGAUUGCGAAGGCAGCAUACCGGCGGCGAUCUGACGCUGAGGCACGAAAGCGUGGGUAUCGAACAGGAUUAGAUACCCGUGUAGUC
rnacentral:rRNA from 1 species